UGCUGACUCUCCCCGACAAGCUGUCGAAUGACAAAGCCUACGCGGAUCGUAUCGACGGAUUGAAGCGCGAUCUCCUUGCGCGCCCCGAGCUUGCUGCGCUGACGCGCGACAUCUGGGCCAACGUCAAGUCGUUCAUCGACAGGAGCGCGAGCGGCGAGAGCAAUGUGCUGCAACAUCACCUGACCAAUGUGUUCCUGGAAGCCGGCAGGCAGCUCGCAACCGACAGUGAGAUGCGCGCGGA
rnacentral:misc_RNA from 1 species